GGCACCCGGAGGUUUUUAUGUCACUGUAAAUUGUCUACCAAUCAAAAGGCUGACAGAGAUGUAUUUUUAGACGCUGCAGCACAAUUAAGUCUUCUUGUUAGUCUCAGGAGGAGAAAGAGGUUGUUGGUUUACUUGCAAAUGCUUGAGGUAAUUCUCUAAUGGCUCCUCCACCAUUACACAGACACUGUUUUCAAUCUCUUAUCAUAUGUAAUCCCUAAUGAUUUCUCUGUUAUGUCCUGUUUUAUUAAAGCGCCAUUGAACUAUAGCCUAUUGAUUUAGAUUUCACAGACAAUUGAAAUUUAAAUUGACUCCAAAUUGAAUGUCUCCAUGCAAUCUGUGUUCUGUACUAAAGAUAGAUAAAAUGCUUCUAUUUUUGAUAACAACUUAUAGCAGAGGCACAUUUUAAUUUCGAAAAGUGUGGAAGGGAGUCAUGAUUUCCAUGACAAUGUCAGGCAGCCAGGACGGCUGCACUUGUCGGCUGCUUCUCUGACCUGCGCAGGCAUUUCCCAUCGCCCGGGGGCUCGGAGGGAGGCGGGCAGAGCCCUGGCAGCAUGCUGCAGAGUUCCUCUGAAUCCGGAGACACCUGCAGGAUUGCCACGAGUGCCCGGAUCCAACGCCUGCCCCGUUACCCAGCACGGGCAAGUCUGAGCCCUUCCCACACCCUGCUCCAGAAGGUCCCACUGCCUCUGUCGAGGUUUGUACCGCGGUCACACGUCUGUCCUGCUGCAGCCAGCCCGUCCCGGCUCACAGCGCUCUCAGAUGCUCACAGUUUCUCUGCUGCUGCUUUCCAUGGGGCACGAGGUGCAGGGAAGGGUGGCACCAGCGGCUCCGCGAGACCAGGCCCCAUGGUGGGUUUGUGGUCGAGACAAAGACCAAAGGUGGAUGAGGAAGAGCAACCAGCCUCCUACCAGCUCGGUGCCAAGCUGAUGACCGGGCACCAUGGCUAAUUUGAUGAGCCAGAUCAUCUCGUGGUGGCGGUGCCUGGCUUUUGAGUAACGACAGCGGACGAGCUCCGUUAGCAGCUCACGGUGGAAUAGCUCUGGGCAAUCACCCGAUCGAAUGCUCAAAAUGUUGCAAAGUAAAUCGUCUAAUAAAGCAAUAAAGUAAGGGACUUGCUAAAUGAUUUGUCUUUUAA